rnacentral:rRNA from 1 species
CAGUAGCCGCGGGAAUACGAAGGGGGCUAGCGUUGCUCGGAAUGACUGGGCGUAAAGGGCGCGUAGGCGGCGGCCAAAGUCAGGCGUGAAAUUCCCGGGCUCAACCUGGGGGCUGCGUUUGAUACUUGGUUGCUUGAGUGGGGAAGAGGGUCGUGGAAUUCCCAGUGUAGAGGUGAAAUUCGUAGAUAUUGGGAAGAACACCGGUGGCGAAGGCGGCGACCUGGUCCUUGACUGACGCUGAGGCGCGAAAGCAUGGGGAGCAAACAGGAUUAGAGACCCCUGUAGUCCCUGUCUCUUAUAC